rnacentral:rRNA from 1 species
CAGGAUGAACGCUAGCUACAGGCUUAACACAUGCAAGUCGAGGGGCAGCAUUGGAGUAGCAAUACUCAGAUGGCGACCGGCGCACGGGUGAGUAACACGUAUCCAACCUGCCGCUUACUCGGGAUAGCCUUUCGAAAGAAAGAUUAAUACCCGAUGGUAUAAAGAGUUCGCAUGUUCUCUUUAUUAAAGAAUUUCGGUAAGCGAUGGGGAUGCGUUCCAUUAGAUAGUUGGCGGGGUAACGGCCCACCAAGUCUACGAUGGAUAGGGGUUCUGAGAGGAAGGUCCCCCCACAUUGGAACUGAGACACGGUCCAAACUCCUACGGGGAGGCAGCAGUGAGGAAUAUUGGUCAAUGGACGAGAGUCUGAACCAGCCAAGUAGCGUGAAGGAUGACUGCCCUAUGGGUUGUAAACUUCUUUUAUAAGGGAAUAAAGUGAGGGACGUGUCCCUUUUUGUAUGUACCUUAUGAAUAAGGAUCGGCUAACUCCGUGCCAGCAGCAGC